rnacentral:rRNA from 1 species
UACGUAGGGUGCAAGCGUUAUCCGGAUUUAUUGGGCGUAAAGGGCUCGUAGGCGGUUCGUCGCGUCCGGUGUGAAAGUCCAUCGCUUAACGGUGGAUCCGCGCCGGGCACGGGCGGGCUUGAGUGCGGUAGGGGAGACUGGAAUUCCCGGUGUAACGGUGGAAUGUGUAGAUAUCGGGAAGAACACCAAUGGCGAAGGCAGGUCUCUGGGCCGUUACUGACGCUGAGGAGCGAAAGCGUGGGGAGCGAACAGG